rnacentral:rRNA from 1 species
UACAGAGGUCCCAAGCGUUGUUCGGAUUCAUUGGGCGUAAAGGGUGCGUAGGCGGUGGGGUAAGUUGGCUGGGAAAUCUUGGGGCUUAACCUCAAAAUUGCAUUCAAUACUGCUCCGCUCGAGUUCUGUAGAGGAGAUUGGAAUUUACGGUGUAGCAGUGAAAUGCGUAGAUAUCGUAAGGAACGCCAGUGGCGAAAGCGAAUCUCUGGGCAGCAACUGACGCUGAGGCACGAAGGCCAGGGGAGCAAACGGG